AAAAUCUAGUACUGUGUAGGACAAGGGGAAAUCUGGCAUUACUCUGCUGAGGAGUUUUCUAUUAAACAAAAUUAUUAUCUUCUUUGUUGGACUUGAAAGGUCACAAGAGCAACCAGCUCACCUGCUGAGGAGCUAGCAGGUGGUCUUGGAGGGCUGGAUGAUCGGUCUGUUCUGAGGUCAGGAGUUGCAGUAGAUGUCAUCAGACCUCUCUGAGGCAAUCAGGAGAGUCAGGAGAAAAUCUGACCCUGACAUCAAAGGUCCCUGGUACCGUAAGCUUUGUACUCCAGACUUUCUUUCCAGUUUGUCUGAUGAUUAGCUUAGCCUGUGUGUGAGUUAAUGACCGUCACUGGGUUUGUCAAACUCUGGGUUAAACUCAAAGCUGGCUGAUUGGAAAAUAAUAUAUUGUUUUAAAUGUUCUGCUGCUCUUUGUUGUAGAUGGUUUUUGAAUUUGAAAACUGUUUUUAUAACUGAAUAACACAACCACGGCUGACUAUGACUCACUUUUAAAGGUUGGAAGAAGACAAAUCCCUAUGAGUCAACAGUGCUCACCACUACACCACUGUGCUGCCCCUGAUCUGAAACUUUAAAAUGUAAAAUCAAAUUUGCAUUUUGUAAUUGAUAGGUAGUUUUGUAGUCCUAUAUUGUGGAAAUUGAUCUGUAUACCAGCUAAAAAAGGACCCCCUCCGACCCCACCAACUCCCCUGCCACAUCAUCAGUUUUCUUCUCCCCGUGGACUCUGAAAUCUACGAUCUCAUCCGGAAAUCCAAACCCUCAACCUGUCAGCUGGAUCCCCUUCCCACCACACUGGUCAUAUCAUGCCUCCCAUCUGUGCUUCCUCUCAUAUCUGCCAUCAUUCACUCCUCACUCACCACUGGAACUGUUCCCGCAUCCCUCAAGACAGCAGCCAUCACCCCUAUCCUGAAAAAACCUGGCUCUGACCCCAAUAACUUCAACAACCCCCGGCCCAUCUCCAAUUUACCAUACACAGCCAAAAUACUGGAAAAGGUCGUCGCCAGCCAACUACACACCCACCUAACCCAGGACUCCCUCUACGACCCCUUCCAAUCUGGUUUUCGCCCCCGCCACAGCACCGAAACCGCACUGCUAAAAAUCACCAACGACUUUCUCACUGCAGCUGACUCCAGUUCACUUUCCAUCCUCAUCCUCCUCGACCUUAGUGCAGCCUUUGACACCAUCUCCCAUCCCAUCCUCCUCCAUAGACUCUCCUCCAUCGGCAUCUCCCACACCCCUCUCCGCUGGUUCCACUCUUACCUCUCAGACCGCACACAGUUCAUCCAGCUCAAAUCCUUC